GGAGAGCGGGUUCGCCAGGGGCCCGAGGAAGGCAGUCAGACACCUUGUUUUCUUCCCGACAGUGGCCUGGGUGGACGGCGCGGCGCAGGUUAAAUCUUUAACAAAUAAUAAGGAAAGAAGAUAAUAAGGGAUUCAGAACAAGUAUUCCAAGAAAAAAGGAAUACCCAAAAGAGGAAAAAGAAAUAGAGAAACUAAAAGAAAAGCAAAAGAGAAAAAAAAAAACUAGAAAAAAAA